rnacentral:rRNA from 1 species
AUUGAACGCUGGCGGCAGGCUUAACACAUGCAAGUCGAGCGAGCGGCGGACGGGUGAGUAAUGUCUGGGAACCUGCCUGAUGGCGGGGGAUAACUACUGGAAACGGUAGCUAAUACCGCAUACCAUCAGAUGAACCCAUAUGGGAUUAGCUAGUAGGUGGGGUAAAGGCUCACCUAGGCGACGAUCCCUAGCUGGUCUGAGAGGAUGAACAGCCACACUGGGACUGAGACACGGCCCAGACUCCUACGGGAGGCAGCAGUGGGGAAUAUUGCACAAUGGGCGCAAGCCUGAUGCAGCCAUGCCGCGUGUAUGAAGAAGGCCUUCGGGUUGUAAAGUACUUUCAGCGGGGAGGCGUUACCCGCAGAAGAAGCACCGGCUAACUCCGUGCCAGCAGCCGCGGUAAUAC